rnacentral:rRNA from 1 species
GACGAACGCUGGCGGCGUGCCUAACACAUGCAAGUCGAGCGGAGAUAGUAGCAAUAUUAUCUUAGCGGCGGACGGGUGAGUAACGCGUGGGCAACCUGCCUCAUACAGGGGGAUAACACUGGGAAACUAGUGCUAAUACCGCAUAAUUCGGAGUCUUGGCAUCAAGAUUUCGGCAAAGGAGCAAUCUGGUAUGAGAUGGGCCCGCGUCCGAUUAGCUAGUUGGUGGUGUAACGGACCACCAAGGCGACGAUCGGUAGCCGAACUGAGAGGUUGAUCGGCCACAUUGGGACUGAGACACGGCCCAGACUCCUACGGGAGGCAGCAGUGGGGAAUAUUGCGCAAUGGGGGAAACCCUGACGCAGCAACGCCGCGUGAAGGAUGAAGGUUUUCGGAUUGUAAACUUCUUUGAUGAGGGACGAAUAAUGACGGUACCUCAAAAACAAGCCACGGCUAACUACGUGCCAGCCGCCGCAGUAA